CACCGAAGGCUUAAAGUAGGACAACCAUGGAGCCUUCCUGUGGCAAGAGAGACAACAAAGCGCUAUUAUCCUAAGCUUUUCCAGAAGCCUGUUAAAAGUCUCCCCACAAGCAACUUCUCUGCCACAUCGCCACCCCGUGCCUUUUGAUCUAGCACAGACCCUUCACCCCUCACCUCGAUGCAGCCGGUAGCUUGGAUCCUUGUGGGCAUGAUCCAUAAUCGGUUUCAAGGUAAUACCCUGAAACUGGUGUUUUGAGAAGCCCUACUGCUGAAAACUUAACAAUUUUAUGUAAUAAAAAUGGAGAAGCUCUAAA
rnacentral:lncRNA from 1 species